AAUGAACGUUGGCGGCGUGGAUUAGGCAUGCAAGUCGAGCGAGAAUCUGCGAUUGGAAGCUUCGGCCGAAGAAAGUGAAGGAAAGCGGCAAACGGCGUAGUAAGGCGUAGGCACGUACCCUCGGGUCGGGAAUAGCCAUGGGAAACUGUGGGUAAUGCCCGAUAAUCUCUGCGGAGCAAAGGUGUGAUUCCGCCGGAGGAGCGGCUUACGUGAUAUUAGCUAGUUGGUGGGGUAAUGGCCUACCAAGGCAACGAUGUCUAGGGGGUGUGAGAGCAUGGCCCCCACGACCGGAACUGAGACACUGUCCGGACACCUACGGGUGGCUGCAGUCGAGAAUCUUCCGCAAUGGGCGAAAGCCUGACGGAGCGACGCCGCGUGGUGGAUGAAGGCCCUUGGGUUGUAAACACCUGUCAGAGGGGAUGAAAUCAUGGUUGGCAAUCCUUCCAUGUUGACAGAGCCCCAGAGGAAGCACGGGCUAAGUACGUGCCAGCAGCCGAC
rnacentral:rRNA from 1 species